rnacentral:misc_RNA from 1 species
GUGAAUCAUCGAAUUUUUGAACGCAAAUUGCGCUUCCUGGCAUCCCGGGGAGUAUGCCUGUUUGAGGGUCAGUAUUAAUAAAAAAGCUGUUUAUUUACAAAUUGUGACGUUUCCGGAGUUUGGUCGAUCUUAACAUUUUUGGUUGAGAAUCUUUGAAUUGACCUUUUUUACGCUUGUGUGAACGUACAUGAAUUUUUUUUAUUCGUCUAUUCUUAAUGCCGAAGUCUUAUUAUUUGCGAUCACAGCGUGUGGCUUCAUGUCCAU